rnacentral:rRNA from 1 species
ACAGGGAUUGCCCUAGUAACGGCGAGUGAAGCGGCAUCAGCUCAAAUUUGAAAUCUGGCUCUUUUAGGGUCCGAGUUGUAAUUUGCAGAGGGCGCUUUGGCGUUGGCAGCGGUCCAAGUUCCUUGGAACAGGACGUCACAGAGGGUGAGAAUCCCGUACGUGGUCGCUGGCCUUCGCCGUGUAAAGCCCCUUCGACGAGUCGAGUUGUUUGGGAAUGCAGCUCUAAAUGGGAGGUAAAUUUCUUCUAAAGCUAAAUACUGGCCAGAGACCGAUAGCGCACAAGUAGAGUGAUCGAAAGAUGAAAAGCACUUUGGAAAGAGAGUCAAAUAGCACGUGAAAUUGUUGAAAGGGAAGCGCUUGCAGCCAGACUUGCCUGUAGUUGCUCAUCCGGGCUUUUGCCCGGUGCACUCUUCUGCGGGCAGGCCAGCAUCAGUCUGGGCGGUUGGAUAAAGGCCUCUGUCAUGUACCUCCUUUCGGGGAGGCCUUAUAGGGGAGGCGUAAUGCAACCAGCCUGGACUGAGGUCCGCGCAUUUGCUAGGAUGCUGGCGUAAUGGCUGUAAGCGGCCCGUCUUGAAACACGGACCAAGGAGUCUAACAUCUAUGCGAGUGUUUGGGUGUCAAGCCCGAACGCGUAAUGAAAGUGAACGGAGGUGGGAUCCCUUUAGGGUGCACCAUCGACCGAUCCUGAUGUCUUCGGAUGGAUUUGAGUAAGAGCAUGGCUGUUGGGACCCGAAAGAUGGUGAACUAUGCUUGAAUAGGGUGAAGCCAGAGGAAACUCUGGUGGAGGCUCGCAGCGGUUCUGACGUGCAAAUCGAUCGUCAAAUUUGGGCAUAGGGGCGAAAGACUAA